rnacentral:rRNA from 1 species
GACGAACGCUGGCGGCGUGCUUAACACAUGCAAGUCGAACGGGUCUGCCCUGUUUUUUGCGGGGUGGGUCAGUGGCGAACGGGUGAGUAACACGUGAGUAACCUGCCCCUCACUUCUGGAUAACCGCUUGAAAGGGUGGCUAAUACGGGGUGUUCUGGCUGUGCCGCAUGGUGUGGCUGGGAAAGAUUCACUUUUGUGGUGUUUUGGUGGGGGAUGGGCUCGCGGCCUAUCAGCUUGUUGGUGGGGUGAUGGCCUGCCAAGGCUUUGACGGGUCGCCGGCCUGGGGGGGUGGGCGGUCACACGGGGACUGAGAUACGGCCCAGACUCCGGCGGGAGGCAGCAGUGGGGGGUAUUGCACAAUGGGCGGAAGCCUGAUGCAGCGACGUCGCGUGAGGGAUGGAGGCCUUCGGGUUGUGAACCUCUUUCGCCGGUGAAGAAGGUCCUGCUCUUUGUGGUGGGGUUGACGGUAGCCGGGUUAUGAAGCGCCGGCUAACUACGUG